ACCGAUGUCGCUCGCCCCUUUGGCGCGUGGGGGCGCCGCCGCCAGCCCCUUGCGGGGUGCUGCCGACGCGAAACGCCGCCGCUGAGCGGCCCUCUGUGGGUGCGCCGUCGCUUGAUGCCCGAUGGGGCACCGCUGGUCCGGCCGUCCCCUUGUGCGCCGACCAACAGCUGGUCGCCGGUCACCACCGGUAGGAGGAGGGCCCCGCGUGACGGGGUGCUUCGGGUGGUGAAGCGCCGGCCGCCGAUGGCGCCGUUUGCCUGCGCGCCGGAGGGCGCUACCGCCGCAGGGCCGUGCGCUGCCGGCACCGCCGCGGGCAGUGCCCAGCGCCGUUGGCGCCGUUGUGGAGAGACGCCACCAGUGGUGGGCUCCGGUGUGCGCAGCUCCUCGCCUUCCCUUCUUCUUCUCAUCUUUGCCGGUCCCCAUGCGCGCCGGCGUCUAGUGGAUGCGCCGCUGGUGUGCACCGCCGUUGGCGAGCGCCGUCGUCGGUGGGCGCCGCGCCUUGCUCCGCGGCCGAGGGUCGCCGCCUAGCGCUGUAGCGCCUCUGGAGGACGCCGCGCCGAGUGCCGCCGCGGGUGGUGGGGUGCCCAUUGCCGCCGAGGGCGGCCGUGGUGGUGUCGUUCGACGGCGAGGAAGCCAUCAUCGUUUUCAGAGAAUUAAGUCUGCGAGUUCUUCCCCAUCGGUUCUUGCGCUCAGUAGAGAGUCUAGAGUGUGUGAUAACGUGUUGUGAGUGAAAGUGUUGAGAGAAUAAAUUGUUGUUAUUGAUUUAUGGUUGGACCAUUCCUUUUAUAUGUACAAGAGGAAAAGAGUGUCUCUUCUCCAAAGGACAUGCCCCUUUGAGAGUGACCCCUUCAUGAGAUUAACAACUGCUUGAUGACAUUCUAAUGAUGUCAUUAAUCUAAAUAAGUAAUUAACUAAUUACAGAA